rnacentral:rRNA from 1 species
UACGGGGGGAGCAAGCGUUGUUCGGAUUUACUGGGCGUAAAGGGCGCGUAGGCGGCCAGCACAAGUCAGUUGUGAAAUCUCCGAGCUUAACUCGGAAAGGUCAACUGAUACUGUGCGGCUAGAGUGCGGAAGGGGCAACUGGAAUUCUUGGUGUAGCGGUGAAAUGCGUAGAUAUCAAGAGGAACACCUGCGGCGAAGGCGGCUUCCUGGCCAUUCACUGACGCUGAGACGCGAAAGCGUGGGGAGCAAACAGG